AACGAACGCUGGAGGCGUGCUUAACACAUGCAAGUCGUACGGACUCUUCGGAGUUAGUGGCGGACGGGUGAGUAAUACAUAGAUAAUCUGCCCUGUAGAGGGGGAUAACUGAGCGAAAGUUCAGCUAAUACCGCGUAAUAUUCUACGGAAGGAAAAGAAGCAAUUCGCUAUAGGAUGAGUCUAUGCAUGAUUAGCUAGUUGGUGGGGUAAAGGCUUACCAAGGCGACGAUCAUUAGCUGGUCUAAGAGGACGAUCAGCCACAUUGGGACUGAGACACGGCCCAGACUUCUACGGAAGGCAGCAGUGGGGAAUUUUCCGCAAUGGGGGCAACCCUGACGGAGCGACGCCUCGUGGGUGAAGAAGUCUUUAGGGAUGUAAAGCCCUGUCAGUAGGGACGAAGAAAGUGACGGUACCUGCAGAGGAAGCAUCGGCUAACUACG
rnacentral:rRNA from 1 species